AGUGAACGCUGGCGGUAGGCCUAACACAUGCAAGUCGAACGGCAGCACAGUAAGAGCUUGCUCUUACGGGUGGCGAGUGGCGGACGGGUGAGGAAUACAUCGGAAUCUACUUUUUCGUGGGGGAUAACGUAGGGAAACUUACGCUAAUACCGCAUACGACCUACGGGUGAAAGCAGGGGAUCUUCGGACCUUGCGCGAUUGAAUGAGCCGAUGUCGGAUUAGCUAGUUGGCGGGGUAAAGGCCCACCAAGGCGACGAUCCGUAGCUGGUCUGAGAGGAUGAUCAGCCACACUGGAACUGAGACUCGGUCCAGACUCCUACGGGAGGCAGCAGUGGGGAAUAUUGGACAAUGGGCGCAAGCCUGAUCCAGCCAUACCGCGUGGGUGAAGAAGGCCUUCGGGUUGUAAAGCCCUUUUGUUGGGAAAGAAAAGCAGCAGGUUAAUACCCCGCUGUUCUGACGGUACCCAAAGAAUAAGCACCGGCUAACUUCGU
rnacentral:rRNA from 1 species